rnacentral:rRNA from 1 species
UCGAGAAUCAUUCACAAUGGGGGAAACCCUGAUGGUGCGACGCCGCGUGGGGGAAUGAAGGUCUUCGGAUUGUAAACCCCUGUCAUGUGGGAGCAAAUUAAAAAGAUAGUACCACAAGAGGAAGAGACGGCUAACUCUGUGCCAGCAGCCGCGGUAAUACAGAGGUCUCAAGCGUUGUUCGGAAUCACUGGGCGUAAAGCGUGCGUAGGCGGUUUCGUAAGUCGUGUGUGAAAGGCGGGGGCUCAACCCCCGGACUGCACAUGAUACUGCGAGACUAGAGUAAUGGAGGGGGAACCGGAAUUCUCGGUGUAGCAGUGAAAUGCGUAGAUAUCGAGAGGAACACUCGUGGCGAAGGCGGGUUCCUGGACAUUAACUGACGCUGAGGCACGAAGGCCAGGGGAGCGAAAGG